AUUGAACGCUGGCGGCAUGCCUUACACAUGCAAGUCGAACGGUAACGUGCCUUCGGGUGCCGACGAGUGGCGAACGGGGGAGGAAUACAUCGGAACGUGCCCGAUCGUGGGGGAUAACGAGGCGAAAGCUGUGCUAAUACCGCAUACGAUCUACGGAUGAAAGCAGGGGACCGCAAGGCCUUGCGCGGACGGAGCGGCCGAUGGCAGAUUAGGUAGUUGGUGGGAUAAAAGCUUACCAAGCCGACGAUCUGUAGCUGGUCUGAGAGGAUGAUCAGCCACACUGGGACUGAGACACGGCCCAGACUCCUACGGGAGGCAGCAGUGGGGAAUUUUGGACAAUGGGCGCAAGCCUGAUCCAGCCAUGCCGCGUGCAGGAUGAAGGCCUUCGGGUUGUAAACUGCUUUUGUACGGAACGAAAAGCCUUCUUUUAAUACAGGAGGGUCAUGACGGUACCGUAAGAAUAAGCACCGGCUAACUACGUG
rnacentral:rRNA from 1 species